CUUUAACGGAGAGUUUGAUCCUGGCUCAGGACGAACGCUGGCGGCGUGCCUAAUACAUGCAAGUCGAGCGGAUUGAUGGGAGCUUGCUCCCUGAUAUCAGCGGCGGACGGGUGAGUAACACGUGGGCAACCUGCCUGUAAGACUGGGAUAACUUCGGGAAACCGGAGCUAAUACCGGAUAAUCCUUUUCCUCUCAUGAGGAAAAGCUGAAAGACGGUUUCGGCUGUCACUUACAGAUGGGCCCGCGGCGCAUUAGC
rnacentral:rRNA from 1 species